rnacentral:rRNA from 1 species
AGGGUGUAAACGCUGCGGGCUUGGUGUUGGGGGUCCUUUGAGGGCGCCCAGUGCCGGAGAGAAGUUGUUAAGCCUGCUGCUUGGGAGUACGUCCGCAAGGAUGAAACUUAAAGGAAUUGGCGGGGGAGCACCGCAACGGGAGGAGCGUGCGGUUCAAUUGGAUUCAACGCCGGACAACUCACCAGGAGCGACGGUUACAUGAAGGCCAGGCUGAUGACCUUGCCUGAUUUUCCGAGAGGUGGUGCAUGGCGUCAGUGACU